UACGGAGGAUCCAAGCGUUAUCCGGAUUUAUUGGGUUUAAAGGGUGCGUAGGCGGUCUUUUAAGUCAGUGCUGAAAUACUCCAGCUUAACUGGAGGGGUGGCAUUGAUACUGGAAGACUUGAGUGUAGUCGAAGUAGGCGGAAUUGACGGUGUAGCGGUGAAAUGCUUAGAUAUCGUCAAGAACACCGAUAGUGAAGACAGCUUACUAGGCUACAACUGACGCUGAGGCACGAAAGUGUGGGGAUCAAACAGG
rnacentral:rRNA from 1 species